CCUACGGGUGGCUGCAGUGAGGAAUAUUGGUCAAUGGGCGCGAGUCUGAACCAGCCAAGUCGCGUGAGGGAAGACGGCCCUAUGGAUUGUAAACCUCUUUUGUCGGGGAGCAAAAGACGCUACGCGUGGCGUUUCGUGAGUACCCGAUGAAAAAGCAUCGGCUAACUCCGUGCCAGCAGCCGCGGUAAUACGGAGGAUGCGAGCGUUAUCCGGAUUUAUUGGGUUUAAAGGGAGCGUAGGCGGUUCAGCAAGUCAGAAGUGAAAGCUCGGGGCUCAACUCCGAGACUGCAUUUGAAACUGGUGAACUAGAUUGCAGGAGAGGUAAGUGGAAUUCCUGGUGUAGCGGUGAAAUGCUUAGAUAUUAGGAGGAACAUCGAUGGCGAAAGCGCUUUACUGGACCAUUAUUGACACUGAUGAACGAAAGCCAGGGGAGCAAAUGGGAUUAGAUACCCUAGUAGUC
rnacentral:rRNA from 1 species